AUUUUUAAAAUUUUUUCCUAGUGUCAGAUCUGUUUUCUGAUUUUAUAACUCCUUUUUAUUUUCCCCUUUUCUGCCUUCUAUCCCCAUCUAUUGCUUAUCCCCAUAAAGAAAUUUUUAGGCAUACAUAGGUUAAAAUCAAAAUUAGACACAUUGAAUUUCAGUUUGUUUUUCAAGAAUUGAGUAAUAGCUUUUAAAAUCAUUUUAAGGCUGAUAUGAUUUUACUGACCUAUAAGCAAGAAUUUUAUAAAUAUAUUACUUUUAUGUUUUUUCGUCACUUUCUGCCUUAUUCUUUCAGAAUACCUAUGCUCAGUUCAUUGAUUUACCAUUACCUUUAGUUUCUUAACUUUCCAGAAUUUAGUUUCCCACUCACACCUCAAGUCUUGACAGUGUGGGUCUUCUUUAUAUGUAUACUGUUUAAAGAAAAACUAAUAUGUGAACAUCCAAACCUUUAAAAAUAAAGUAGAAGAGAAUACUACCCAUGUCUUUAUAUUACAAGUUUUUAACCCCGUAUUUUAAAAAUGUGAUUUGUGCAAAAUUAAGUGAAUUUGCUUAAAGUGCUGUAAUGAGAGAGAAGAGAAAGUAUUUUACUUAAAUAUAUUGUUCUUCAAACGUAUGUUGUUUUGCUUUUUAAAAAUCAUUCCCUUGUAGGGAUUUGUUCCUGGGCUGUUUGGAACAUCGCAUGGUGCCCUUCAGUUUAUGGCAUAUGAAUUGCUGAAGUUGAAGUACAACCAGCAUAUCAAUAGAUUACCAGAAGCCCAGUUGAGCACAGUAGAAUAUAUAUCUGUUGCAGCACUAUCCAAAAUAUUUGCUGUCGCAGCAACAUACCCAUAUCAAGUCGUAAGAGCUCGUCUUCAGGAUCAACACAUGUUUUACAGUGGUGUAAUAGAUGUAAUCACAAAGACAUGGAGGUGAGAGCACGUGCUAUAUCAAAAAUUGC
rnacentral:sRNA from 1 species